GCCUUGAUGGCUCAGUGGUUGAGCACCUGCCUUCUGCUCAGGGUGUGAACCUGGGGUCAUGGGAUCGAGUCCCAUGUCGGGCU
rnacentral:tRNA from 1 species